AGAGUUUGAUCCUGGCUCAGGAUGAACGCUGGCGGCGUGCCUAAUACAUGCAAGUCGAGCGAACGGACGAGAAGCUUGCUUCUCUGAUGUUAGCGGCGGACGGGUGAGUAACACGUGGAUAACCUACCUAUAAGACUGGGAUAACUUCGGGAAACCGGAGCUAAUACCGGAUAAUAUUUUGAACCGCAUGGUUCAAAAGUAAAAGACGGUCUUGCUGUCACUUAUAGAUGGAUCCGCGCUGCAUUAGCUAGUUGGUAAGGUAACGGCUUACCAAGGCAACGAUGCAUAGCCGACCUGAGAGGGUGAUCGGCCACACUGGAACUGAGACACGGUCCAGACUCCUACGGGAGGCAGCAGUAGGGAAUCUUCCGCAAUGGGCGAAAGCCUGACGGAGCAACGCCGCGUGAGUGAUGGAGGUCUUCGGAUCGUAAAACUCUGUUAUUAGGGAAGAACAUAUGUGUAAGUAACUGUGCACAUCUUGACGGUACCUAAUCAGAAAGCCACGGCUAACUACGUGCCAGCAGCCGCGGUAAUACGUAGGUGGCAAGCGUUAUCCGGAAUUAUUGGGCGUAAAGCGCGCGUAGGCGGUUUUUUAAGUCUGAUGUGAAAGCCCACGGCUCAACCGUGGAGGGUCAUUGGAAACUGGAAAACUUGAGUGCAGAAGAGGAAAGUGGAAUUCCAUGUGUAGCGGUGAAAUGCGCAGAGAUAUGGAGGAACACCAGUGGCGAAGGCGACUUUCUGGUCUGUAACUGACGCUGAUGUGCGAAAGCGUGGGGAUCAAACAGGAUUAGAUACCCUGGUAGUCCACGCCGUAAACGAUGAGUGCUAAGUGUUAGGGGGUUUCCGCCCCUUAGUGCUGCAGCUAACGCAUUAAGCACUCCGCCUGGGGAGUACGACCGCAAGGUUGAAACUCAAAGGAAUUGACGGGGACCCGCACAAGCGGUGGAGCAUGUGGUUUAAUUCGAAGCAACGCGAAGAACCUUACCAAAUCUUGACAUCCUUUGACAACUCUAGAGAUAGAGCCUUCCCCUUCGGGGGACAAAGUGACAGGUGGUGCAUGGUUGUCGUCAGCUCGUGUCGUGAGAUGUUGGGUUAAGUCCCGCAACGAGCGCAACCCUUAAGCUUAGUUGCCAUCAUUAAGUUGGGCACUCUAAGUUGACUGCCGGUGACAAACCGGAGGAAGGUGGGGAUGACGUCAAAUCAUCAUGCCCCUUAUGAUUUGGGCUACACACGUGCUACAAUGGACAAUACAAAGGGCAGCGAAACCGCGAGGUCAAGCAAAUCCCAUAAAGUUGUUCUCAGUUCGGAUUGUAGUCUGCAACUCGACUACAUGAAGCUGGAAUCGCUAGUAAUCGUAGAUCAGCAUGCUACGGUGAAUACGUUCCCGGGUCUUGUACACACCGCCCGUCACACCACGAGAGUUUGUAACACCCGAAGCCGGUGGAGUAACCUUUUAGGAGCUAGCCGUCGAAGGUGGGACAAAUGAUUGGGGUGAAGUCGUAACAAGGUAGCCGUAUCGGAAGGUGCGGCUGGAUCACCU
rnacentral:rRNA from 2 species